CCUACGGGUGGCAGCAGUAGGGAACCUUCGGCAAUGGACGAAAGUCUGACCGAGCAACGCCGCGUGAGUGAAGAAGGUUUUCGGAUCGUAAAACUCUGUUGUUAGAGAAGAACAAGUAGGAGAGUAACUACUCUUACCUUGACGGUAUCUAACCAGAAAGCCACGGCUAACUACGUGCCAGCAGCCGCGGUAAUACGUAGGUGGCAAGCGUUGUCCGGAUUUAUUGGGCGUAAAGCGAGCGCAGGCGGUCUUUUAAGUCUGAUGUGAAAGCCCUCGGCUCAACCGAGGAAGGUCAUUGGAAACUGGAGGACUUGAGUGCAGAAGAGGAGAGUGGAAUUCCAUGUGUAGCGGUGAAAUGCGUAGAUAUAUGGAGGAACACCAGUGGCGAAGGCGACUCUCUGGUCUGUAACUGACGCUGAGGCUCGGAAGCGUGGGGAACAAACAGGAUUAGAUACCCCUGUAGUC
rnacentral:rRNA from 1 species